GAACGAACGCUGGCGGCAUGCCUAACACAUGCAAGUCGAACGAGACCUUCGGGUCUAGUGGCGCACGGGUGCGUAACGCGUGGGAACCUGCCCUUAGGUUGGGAAUAACUCCCCGAAAGGGGUGCUAAUACCGGAUAAUGUCUUCGGACCAAAGAUUUAUCGCCUUUGGAUGGGCCCGCGUUGGAUUAGCUAGUUGGUAGGGUAAAAGCCUACCAAGGCGACGAUCCAUAGCUGGUCUGAGAGGAUGAUCAGCCACACUGGGACUGAGACACGGCCCAGACUCCUACGGGAGGCAGCAGUGGGGAAUAUUGGACAAUGGGCGAAAGCCUGAUCCAGCAAUGCCGCGUGAGUGAUGAAGGCCUUAGGGUUGUAAAGCUCUUUUACCCGGGAUGAUAAUGACAGUACCGGGAGAAUAAGCUCCGGCUAACUCCGUG
rnacentral:rRNA from 1 species